rnacentral:piRNA from 1 species
UCUAAAGUGACUGUAAGGUUCCACAAGGGA